rnacentral:lncRNA from 10 species
CUUGAUCUGAAUACUGGUUACAUAGUACAUUAAUUUAUGGAAAUUCAUCAUGGUAUAUCCUUAUGAUUUUUAAACUUUGUAUAUAAUUUAACAGUAUAACAAACUCAAACUCUAAUCAGUGAUUUUCAGAAAAAUAUUUGGAUGUUGUAUUAGUCUGUUUUCACACUGCUAUAAAGAACGACCUGAGAGAGGGUAAUUUAUAAAGAAAAGAGGUUUAAUUGACUCACAGUUCCAAGUGGCUGGGGAGGCCUGAGGAAACUUACAAUCAUGGCAGAAGGCGAAAGAGAAGCAAGUCACGUCUUACAUGGCGGCAGGAGAAGGAGCGUGUUGAAGGAAGUGCCGCACUUUUAAACAUCAGAUCUCAUGAGAUCUCACUAUCACAGAACAGCAUGGGGAAAAUCUGCCCCCAUGAUCCAAUUACCUCCUACCAGGUCCCUCCCCUGACAGGUGGGGAAUUACAAUUCGAGAUGAGAUUUGGGCAGGGACACAGAGUCAAACCAUAUCAGAUGUUAAAACCUUUUUUUUCCUUUUUGAGUUGUCAGUUUUGAAUAUAAUUAUUUCAAAAAUUUCAUUUUGUUUCCUUUUCAAAUUCUGCCUAGACAUUUUUAAUAGCAUUUUGCUCAUGUUUUCAAAUCCAUCUUUUAUUUCUAGAAACAUUUUAGGACAUUUCAUUUAUAUUCUGACUGAUAAUUCUUAAAUUCAAGUUCUUGGGAAGUCUAAUUCUACUGUUUGUUGUUUCCACUGAUGGCUUGUUUACUCUGUGUAACUGGAAACUUUUCAUUGUGAAGUCAUAUGUGGUUGAUUUUAAUCUGUGAGAAUUCUAAAGAGCCCCAGCUGUGGGAACAUUCCUACAAAGCUGAUUCUCUUCCGAUUCUGCUGGAAUCCUGAGUCUCUCUCAAACUGGAAUUAUCUUAACAAUUCUUUUGCUUGAGGUUUCCUGGACGGCAUAUGUGGAUAAUGGAGCAGGUGAUGUUUAGCCUGGAGAACUGAAGGCUCAGGAAGAACGGGGUCUUCAAACACCUGAAGGACUGUCUCAUGAAAAAGAGAUGCACAAGACAGGAGAAUUGAGCAGAGAGAUGUUUAACUCAAAUCGAAGAACAAAGACAGCAUUGAAUCACCACCUAUCAAGGGUCUUACUUGAAUAGACUUUGGUUUGGAUGAGAGGCUAUAGAAGAAAACCUCAAAAGUCUCUUCCAAUUCUAAGGUUUCAUGAUUCCAGGCAUUUGGAGAAUUAGGAAAAAUAAUCACUUAAAAAAAAAACUAUUUAGUGCCAAGCUUCCUAAAACAUCUUUAAAAUGUCCAAUAUCCAUGAAUCAUAGGGUAUUAUCCAUUUUAUUUGAAAACCAUGGAACUCUACUACUAGAACUUCAUUCUAGGUUGUUUAAAACAAAGUACAAUGCAAAACUGUCUUCUUUCAUAAGAACCAUUUUCUAGAUGGGCAUAGAUUCUUUGAGGGAAUUCUUAUCAUGCAGAUAUUUUACUUCAAAAUCUAAACUUGUACCACUUUACUGGAAUGAAAUAUUAACGCUAUUAAUUUAAACAUCAUAACAUUUUUUAAAAAUAAGGUGUUAAAAUAAUAUUUAUUCAUCAAUCCUAUACCACUACAAUAUUUUAGAUCAGUGAUUUAAUAUCUGAAAAAAUUUAUCACAUACUAUGCAUACCACUGAUCAGCAGAGGCUGAAAUUUUACUGUAACUUCAGUCCAAAGAUACAGGUUUUAAUUUGAGUUCUCCAUAAUUCACAGAAAUAUUUAAGGGUAAAUAUAAGUCUUAAUUAAAAUCCCUAUUCUCCCAGCAUGUGCUAAACCCACCCUGCUCCACAUGCAGACCCUUGGCCCCAAACAAUCCCGAGAGGAUGUUGGCUCAGAGCAGCAAGGAGCUGACAGAUGGGGCAUUCGGUAAAGGAGUGGUGCUGGGUUUUUUCAUUUUUGUUAGAGACGAAAGCUGUGGGAAAAACAUUCUCCACUUAAUCUAUUUUAUUUUCAGCAAGGUUUUACCUGUAAAUAUUAAUUUAUACACCAGCAAAACUCACUAGAUGCCUGGGCUACAUGAAUAUAAAUGAAAUAAAGCUAUCCAAACUAAAAAAUGAAAUUUCCUGUAUCUUCCUUUCUCAGGCAGAGGAAAAAUAUCCAAGGAUUUAAAAUUCUAUCCAGUGGUUUCAAAGGCAACAAAAGAUCUCACAUUGAGCUCUCAUUUAAAUAGGUGGGGUUAACCAGGGUAGAAAUUACAAGUUAAAGUGCUGCAGCAUAAAGAAGAAAAAUAAUCAUUUAUGCCAUUUUCAAUACAGAAUUUAUUUCCAAAUCAAAACCCUUUACACUUGGAAUAUUGUCAAAUCUCAAAUUUUUACCUUGCUGAGAUCUACGACCACCUUUUGAAACUGAGACAGUGUAGGUAUGAUUACUCCCUGUAUACUCAAGGGUUAGGAAAAUGGAAAAGAACCGUGAGCCCCUCAAGAAUGGUGGCUUUUCUUAUUGGAAUGAAGUAAAUAAAAUAAAUUCAUUGACAAUGCAUUUAAUUUCUUUCUUAGCAAUUAAUUGUGUAUCUACAUUGAAUGAUAACCGUGUAAACAGUCAAGAUAUGCAUGUGGCAAAUGAAAAAUAAAGCAAAAUGUUUUAUCC